rnacentral:misc_RNA from 1 species
CUUUCAUCAGAAUAUUCAAACAAAACAAAACUAGAAAGCUAAUACAUAUAUUUUACGUCUCCCUUCAUACUUUAUGAGGGUUUUCUUCUUUUUUGGGUGGGGGUGUUUAGCGGGGUUCAAAUCAGCCCAAUUUGGACAUAUUUCUCCCUCUAUGCUCAAACUAUUUUCAUCUGAAACUAUUGGUUUAGCCUAACUGAUGUCUUGAUGAUAUAAAACGAUACAUAAAUUAGAAAACUAAGUAAAAUUCUCUUCCUCACAAUUCAUCCUUCACAUCAUUGGUGCUGCUCUCCUGACUUCCUUUGGUAUCAGAACUCUCGGGUUUUGGAGUCGAAGCUGGCUUUUGAAGCUUGAAGGGGAUGGAUGCAUGUUUCUUGAUGAACUUGUAUAACGCUACCACAGUGCGAUCAGUAUCUACAGUAAGCGGAUCAAAGCUCUUGUUUCCAGCAGGGAAAAAGAGAAUGGUGGGGAAUCCAUCAGCCUUUGCCCUGGGAUGCUCAUUCGUUGUUCCAUCCAUCUUGGCUAUAACAAGAGAUUCAAUGCCCCGCAAAUGUUUGCCAAGCUUGUUGUAUGUUGGCUCUAGUGCUUGACAAUGUCCACACCAUGGUGCAUAGAUCUCAAGGAGAACAUCUUUUGACUCAUCCAGCACAAUUUCAUCAAAGUUAUUCCCAACUACUAUUUUGACAUCACCAUCAUUAUUUUCAGGAACAGGAUCUGACUUGAAGAAAGGUUUAAGCUUGUCUUCAAGAAAUUCCUCUCCAAAAGUCUUUAUCUUAUCCAAGCUAACUUCCCCAUUGAGUACAAAUUUCUUACCAUCAUCAUUUCCUGUGUAAGCAAGAACUGUGGGAGCAUUUCCGGAGACACCAAAAUAAUCUGCAACAGGCUUCCCAACUUCUUCAUUGUCCAAUUCAACAUAUACAAAGAUAAGCUUUCCCUUGAACAAUUUAGCUGCUUCUUGAAAUAUGGGGAAAAUUUUCUCUGAAUCAUUUGAAGUUGCAAAUAACAACAGCUGUUUCUUAAUUGGACUCUCAAAAAUUGAAGGGGCAGUUUCUCUAGUAAAAGGGGUCACCAAAGGAAGCUUGUUAGCAAACACAAACUCAACUAUUUCCGACUUGGAAAAGUUGCCAUCAAAGUAACUCAGUUUCUCAGCCUCCUUCUUAAUCAGGACUAAAGCAGGGCGUUU